rnacentral:rRNA from 1 species
CUGCUGUGAAAGGCUGGGGCUUAACCCUGGUUUGCAGUGGGUACGGGCUAACUAGAGUGCAGUAGGGGAGACUGGAAUUCUGGUGUAGCGGUGGAAUGCGCAGAUAUCAGGAGGAACACCGAUGGCGAAGGCAGGUCUCUGGGCUGUAACUGACGCUGAGAAGCGAAAGCAUGGGGAGCGAACAGGAUUAGAUACCCUGGUAGUCCAUGCCGUAAACGUUGGGCACUAGGUGUGGGGGACAUUCCACGUUUUCCGCGCCGUAGCUAACGCAUUAAGUGCCCCCGCCUGGGGAGUACGGCCGCAAGGCUAAAACUCAAAGAAAUUGACGGGGGCCCGCACAAGCGGCGGAGCAUGCGGAUUAAUUCGAUGCAACGCGAAGAACCUUACCAAGGCUUGACAUAUACUGGACUGCGUCAGAGAUGGCGUUUCCCUUCGGGGCUGGUAUACAGGUGGUGCAUGGUUGUCGUCAGCUCGUGUCGUGAGAUGUUGGGUUAAGUCCCGCAACGAGCGCAACCCUCGUUCUAUGUUGCCAGCACGUGAUGGUGGGGACUCAUAGGAGACUGCCGGGGUUAACUCGGAGGAAGGUGGGGAUGACGUCAAAUCAUCAUGCCCCUUAUGUCUUGGGCUUCACGCAUGCUACAAUGGCCGGUACAGAGGGUUGCGAUACUGUGAGGUGGAGCUAAUCCCUAAAAGCCGGUCUCAGUUCGGAUUGGGGUCUGCAACUCGACCCCAUGAAGUCGGAGUCGCUAGUAAUCGCAGAUCAGCAACGCUGCGGUGAAUACGUUCCCGGGCCUUGUACACACCGCCCGUCAAGUCACGAAAGUUGGUAACACCCGAAGCCGGUGGCCUAACCCUGGUGGGGGGAGCCGUCGAAGGUGGGACUGGCGAUUGGGACUAAGUCGUAACAAGGUAACC